GCGACGGGCGAUAUGUACAUAUUAGUAUUAAAUUAUCAAAAAAACUAAUUAAUUUAUUUUUACUUCCUAAUCCAACCUUCCAUUCAUUUAUAUUUCAAUAAAAUUUACAGCCUCAUAUUUCACUAUAAACGUAACUCAUCUAACCCUAUAAAAUCUACAUUUUGACUUGAACUCUUUAAAAAAAAAAUUAAUUAAAUUUAUUUAGAAUAAUAAACAAUAAAUUAAACAGCAAUACAUAAAACAAUUUAUAGAUAAAAUUUAAUGAGUAUUAUCAAUUUAAAUAGACAAGUUCCUCAGAAUUUAACUAAAUACCGCCAAUACUUUUAGAAUUAAUUAUGAACAACAAAUAAAAUCUUGGUAAAUCAUAUACUUUAAAAUAAUAGGGUAUCUAA
rnacentral:rRNA from 1 species